ensembl:rRNA 5S_rRNA 5S ribosomal RNA
GUCUACAGCGAUACCACCUGAACAUGCCUGAUCUCGUCUGAUCUCAGAAGAUAAGCAGGGUUGUCCCUGGUUAGUACUUGGAUGGGAGACCACCUGUGAAUACUGGGUGCUGUAGGCU